rnacentral:lncRNA from 1 species
CACACACACCUGGAGGCAAGCCAGGACCCUAGCUAUAAGGGUGCUCAAAAAAAACAAAAAGAUGAUGAAAGCCAAGAAGACAAAUAUGAACAAAGGCAGCAAAUGUAUAAACAGCUACAGAGGUCUCUGUGAGUUUGGAGGUUCCAUGAAGCACAACGUUUUUAGCCUAGGCCAGAAAAGACAAGUUCUAGUCUCAGAAGAAUAGAAGGGGAAAAGCAAGAAAUGGCAAGAAUAGAGUGUCGUGAAAGAAUGCAUGUCAGAGAAAACCAGGUAGCAUCUGCAUUACUGUUUACCUUUCCCCUUGCUAUGACAAAAUGCAAGACAAAAAGAAAUGACAGAUGGAGUGCUUUUGACUGGUCUCAGUCCACUGUGACAGGGAUGGCUAGAGGAUCAGAACAAACAGACCUUCAGCAGCAUCAAAGCUGGGCAGCUCUUCUCAUUGUAUCCUAAUCCAAGAAACAGAAGGCAGCUGAUGCUGGUGCUCACCUGAACUCACCUUUGUGCCUUUAUAUUUGGUAUGGGACCCUAGCCUGUAGGAUGGUGCGACAAAUCCACAGAUUGGAGGCAGCAUCUUUCUUCUUCAGGAUGUCUCUGGAAACAUUCUCAUAGACAUGCCGUAAGCUGCUUUCCUAGAGGAGCUCAAAUCAAGAUUGGUCACCACAUCCUCCUGAGUUGAUUCCUUGGUAGGCAUCAGUUACUUCCAUUAAUUCUCUUCUUUGAUACUCAGAUGUUCUCUGAGGAAAUAUCUUGUUUCAGAUACGGUGUGGGUCCCUGUCUGUCCUUAGGUUAUUUGGGGGGGGAGGGAUGACUUUUUUUCUGGCAUCAUGAUUGGUUUAAACUGAACACUUUGCCACUGCUCAUUCAAUCAGACUGAUCUUUGGAAACCAGGCUAGAAGAGUUGACUGCUAAGACCUACCUUUUUGUUGGAGGAGAUGUGGGCCUGGAGCUGAUGCCAUUAGCAGUUCUAGCCUGAGGCCAAAACUGGAACAUAGAACAAAUUCAUGAGAAAUGUAAAGAAAUAACUUCUAACGUAAAUAUAAUUAACCUGCUGGUUCAGCUUGUACCCGAAGCCAUUGCCUCUGGAGUUCUUAGUCAUGUAAAUAAAUAAUAAUCUUUUAUGCCCCAGCCCUACUUGAGUAGGAUUUUCAUUUUCUUUAAAAUUAAAGCCAUUCUGAAAUUCGUUCUUCUACUUGGGCUGCCUUGUCUGGCCUCAGUGGGAGAGGCUGUGCACAUCUUCACAGAGACUUGAAGUGUCAGGGUAGGAGGAUACCAGGGAGCCACCUACCUACUCAAAGGAGAAGGGGAGAGGGUAGAGAGAAAGAUUGUGGGACUGGGUGACUAAGAGGGGUGCAGUGAGCAGGAUGUAAAGUGAGUUAGUAGAUAAAUUUUUAAAAGUUAAAGCAAUUGUGAAUGGGUUCAAGACCUUAACAUGUCAGAUAAAUGAAAAGUACAGUCAGUACACAGUUGUGAAGCUGGGAAACUGAACUCACUAAAUGGCCACAAAUCUCCCUCUGAGACACCCUAGUGUAUCCCUUGUAUUUUACAAGAGAACAACCCAUAUUCCAAAGCAUAAUACCAAAAAUAUUAACAACAGAUAUGAAGAAAGUAAAACGAGG